rnacentral:rRNA from 1 species
UACAUGCAAGUCGAACGAGGUCUUCGGACCUAGUGGCGCACGGGUGAGUAACAUGUGGGAAUCUGCCUGAAGGUUCGGAAUAACUGCGGGAAACUGUAGCUAAUACCGGAUGUGUCUGCAAAGAGAAAGAUUUAUCGCCUUCAGAUGAGCCCGCACUAGAUUAGCUAGUUGGUGAGGUAACUGCUCCACCAAGGCUACGAUCUAUAGCUGAUUUGAGAGGAUGAUCAGCCACACUGGGACUGAGACACGGCCCAGACUCCUACGGGAGGCAGCAGUAGGGAAUAUUGGACAAUGGGGGAAACCCUGAUCCAGCAAUGCCGCGUGAGUGAAAAAGGCCUUCGGGUUGUAAAACUCUUUCAUCAAUGAUGAUAAUGACAUUAGUUGAAGAAGAAGCUCCGGCUAACUUCGUGCCAGCAGCCGCGGUAAUACGAAGGGGGCUAGCGUUGUUCGGAAUCACUGGGCGUAAAGCGUAUGUAGGCGGAUCAAAAAGUUAGAUGUGAAAUCCCUGGGCUCAACCCAGGAACUGCAUUUAAAACUAGUGAUCUAGAAUUUGGUAGGGGUUAGUAGAAUUUCCAGUGUAGAGGUGAAAUUCGUAGAUAUUGGAAAGAAUACCAGUGGCGAAGGCGACUAACUGGGCCAUUUUUGACGCUGAGAUACGAAAGCGUGGGUAGCAAACAGGAUUAGAUACCCUGGUAGUCCACGCAGUAAACGAUGAGUGCUAGUCGCUGGGACAAUAGUUUCAGUGUCGAAGCUAACGCAUUAAGCACUCCGCCUGGGAAGUACGGUCGCAAGAUUAAAACUCAAAUAAAUUGACGGGGGCCCGCACAAGCGGUGGAGCAUGUGGUUUAAUUCGAAGCAACGCGAAGAACCUUACCAGACCUUGACAUGGUGUGUUUGAAUUACAGAAUCGUAAUUCUUCAGUUCGGCUGG